rnacentral:rRNA from 1 species
ACGGUCCUAAGGUAGCGAAAUUCCUUGUCGGGUAAGUUCCGACCCGCACGAAAGGCGUAAUGAUUUGAGCGCUGUCUCGACAAUGCAUCCGGUGAAAUUGAAGUACCAGUGAAGAUGCUGGUUACCUGCGCCAGGACGGAAAGACCCCAUGGAGCUUUACUCCAGCUUGAUACUGGGAUUCGAUACUGUAUGUACAGGAUAGGUGGGAGACGUUGAGCAUAGAACGCCAGUUUUAUGUGAGUCGCUGUUGGGAUACCACCCUUGCAGUAUUGGAUUUCUAACCUGCACCCAUGACCUGGGUGGGGGACAAUGUCUGGCGGGGAGUUUGACUGGGGCGGUCGCCUCCGAAAGGGUAUCGGAGGCGCUCAAAGGUUCCCUCAGAAUGGUUGGAAACCAUUCGAAGAGUGCAAAGGCAGAAGGGAGCUUGACUGCGACACCGACGGGUGGAGCAGGUACGAAAGUAGGACUUAGUGAUCCGGUGGUAUAAAGUGGGAUUGCCAUCGCUCAACGGAUAAAAGCUACCCUGGGGAUAACAGGCUUAUCACUCCCAAGAGUUCACAUCGACGGAGUGGUUUGGCACCUCGAUGUCGGCUCAUCGCAUCCUGGGGCUGUAGUAGGUCCCAAGGGUUGGGCUGUUCGCCCAUUAAAGCGGUACGCGAGCUGGGUUCAGAACGUCGUGAGACAGUUCGGUCCUUAUCUAUCGCAGGCGUAAGAUAUUUGAAGAGUGCUGUCCUUAGUACGAGAGGACCAGGAUGGACAUACCGAUGGUGUAUCAGUUGUCACACCAGUGGCACGGCUGAGUAGCUAAGUAUGGAAGGGAUAAACGCUGAAAGCAUCUAAGUGUGAAGCCCACCUCAAGAUGAGAUUUCCCAUGAUUUUAUAUCAGUAAGAGCCCUGAGAGAUGAUCAGGUUGAUAGGUUAGAAGUGGAAGUGUGGUGACACAUGUAGCGGACUAAUACUAAUAGCUCGAGGACUUAUCCAA